rnacentral:rRNA from 1 species
CGUAGCGCUAACCGNAAGGGNUAGCCGCCCAAGGUACAGCUCAUGAUUGGGGUG